GACGAACGCUGGCGGCGUGCCUAAUACAUGCAAGUAGAACGCACAGUUUAUACCGUAGCUUGCUACACCAUAGACUGUGAGUUGCGAACGGGUGAGUAACGCGUAGGUAACCUGCCUGGUAGCGGGGGAUAACUAUUGGAAACGAUAGCUAAUACCGCAUAAUAUUGAUUAUUGCAUGAUAAUUGAUUGAAAGAUGCUAUUGCAUCACUACCAGAUGGACCUGCGUUGUAUUAGCUAGUAGGUGAGGUAACGGCUCACCUAGGCGACGAUACAUAGCCGACCUGAGAGGGUGAUCGGCCACACUGGGACUGAGACACGGCCCAGACUCCUACGGGAGGCAGCAGUAGGGAAUCUUCGGCAAUGGACGAAAGUCUGACCGAGCAACGCCGCGUGAGUGAGGAAGGUUGUCGGAUCGUAAAGCUCUGUUGUAAGAGAAGAACGGGUGUGAGAGUGGAAAGUUCACACUGUGACGGUAUCUUACCAGAAAGGGACGGCUAACUACGUG
rnacentral:rRNA from 1 species